UACGUAGGGCGCAAGCGUUGUCCGGAAUUAUUGGGCGUAAAGAGCUCGUAGGCGGCUUGUCGCGUCGACUGUGAAAUCCCGCGGCUCAACCUCGGGCCUGCAGUGGGUACGGGCAGACUAGAGUGCGGUAGGGGAGAUUGGAAUUCCUGGUGUAGCGGUGGAAUGCGCAGAUAUCAGGAGGAACACCAAUGGCGAAGGCAGAUCUCUGGGCCGUAACUGACGCUGAGGAGCGAAAGCAUGGGGAGCGAACAGG
rnacentral:rRNA from 1 species